rnacentral:tRNA from 1 species
GAAGGUACAGCUCAGUGGUAGAGUGUGUGCUUAGCAUGCACGAGGUCCUGGGUUCGAUCCCCAGUACCUCCA